AUUAAAGCUCUCUUCGGAGAGUGUAUAGAGUGGCGCACGGGUGAGUAACACGUAAGUAAUCUACCCUCGAGUGGGGAAUAACGUCCGGAAACGGACGCUAAUACCGCAUAAUGCAGCGGCACCGCAAGGUGACAGUUGUUAAAGAUUAUCGCUUGAGGAGGAGCUUGCGGCAGAUUAGCUAGUUGGUAAGGUAAUGGCUUACCAAGGCUACGAUCUGUAACCGGUCUAAGAGGACGGUCGGUCACACUGACACUGAAUAACGGGUCAGACUCCUACGGGAGGCAGCAGUCGGGAAUUUUGGGCAAUGGGCGACAGCCUGACCCAGCAACGCCGCGUGAAGGAUGAAGUAUUUCGGUAUGUAAACUUCGAAAGAAUAGGAAGAAUAAAUGACGGUACUAUUUAUAAGGUCCGGCUAACUACGUGCCAGCAGCCGCGGUAAUACGUAGGGACCAAGCGUUGUUCGGAUUUACUGGGCGUAAAGGGCGCGUAGGCGGUGCGGUAAGUCACUUGUGAAAUCUCCGAGCUUAACUCGGAACGGCCAAGUGAUACUGCAGUACUAGAGUGCGGAAGGGGCAAUCGGAAUUCUUGGUGUAGCGGUGAAAUGCGUAGAUAUCAAGAGGAACACCUGAGGUGAAGACGGGUUGCUGGGCCGACACUGACGCUGAUGCGCGAAAGCCAGGGGAGCAAACGGGAUUAGAUACCCCGGUAGUCCUGGCCCUAAACGAUGAAUACUUGGUGUCUGGAGUCUUUAAUGCUCCGGGUGCCGUCGCUAACGUUUUAAGUAUUCCGCCUGGGGAGUACGCUCGCAAGAGUGAAACUC
rnacentral:rRNA from 1 species